rnacentral:tRNA from 1 species
GGCUCUGUAGUGAAGUUCAUAGUGGGUUGCAAGCCUAUUGAUGUGCAUUUGUCGUGCACCGGAGUCU